rnacentral:rRNA from 1 species
GACGAACGCUGGCGGCGUGCUUAACACAUGCAAGUCGAGCGGUAAGGCCCUUUCGGGGGUACACGAGCGGCGAACGGGUGAGUAACACGUGGGUGACCUGCCCUCAGCUCUGGGAUAAGCCUGGGAAACCGGGUCUAAUACUGGAUAUGACUCCAUGACGCAUGUUGUGGGGUGGAAAGCCUUGUGCGGCUGAGGAUGGGCCCGCGGCCUAUCAGCUUGUUGGUGGGGUGANGGCCUACCAAGGCGACGACGGGUAGCCGGCCUGANAGGGCGACCGGCACACUGGGACUGAGACACGGCCCAGACUCCUACGGGAGGCAGCAGUGGGGAAUCUUGCGCAAUGGGCGAAAGCCUGACGCAGCGACGCCGCGUGAGGGAUGACGGCCU